GCUGGCCAAAAGAACAGGUGACUGAUGUCACAGAGGGCUUUGGAAAGCAUGGAACUGUGUGAUUCACAGAUGCUCAGAGGCUGGGUUGACAUCAGGAUCACACAUGGAAAAGUACUAAGGAAAUCAAUGGGAAUGGCCAGUUGGUGAUCAGAACUAAGACUACCAGUGAUCAAAGGAUGGCCCAGAGCAUCCUCGGAUGUUAGGAUUGGCUUAAAACAGGACACUCCUUCUGAGGCUGGAGAUAAAGACGGACACAGAUGAAGAGAAACAAGAAAGAACACAAAAAAUAGAGCAAAAUGUUAGAAUCUGAUCACAAAAAGGAAUAUCUACAGUCUACAUAAUUGGGAAAUUAGGUAAAAAUUGAAAUGUUUUGCCCUUAUUUUAAUGAAGAAUUAACCUUAUGCCCAGCUUGUUUGGGAGGCAUACAAGUCUGUAAGAAAAUUCCCUGCCAAGCCAGAGAAUGCAAACUCAGCCACUUGGAUUCCUUUCUUCCAGUGCAACACUGACCCAGGCACAGUUGGGAUCAUCUUCACAUCUGGUUUGUGGUCUGAGCUGGUUAAUGGUUAACCUGCAUCACUGAAGCUUAAGCUCACACUAGUAAUUGACUUGGGGGAAAAAUAGUUAGCAUUCAUUCAACAUCAGUGCUGGGAACAUCCCUGUCUGUCAUACAGAGUCCCAUCAGUGUUCUACAGGCUUGAUAUGUUUAUUAAUAGAAAUAAUAAAAGAAACACUGUCUGAAACAAAAACAUACCCGUCUUAGGACAUGAUGAAAAGACAUCUAAAACCCUAUGUUGCUUUGGACAGAACCAGUGCUCCUUGGCCCCAUCACCCACUGCAGCCGCUGGACUCAAGGCCAACGACACUUUCAUUUUUCCAAAAAUCAAAGCCUCCUACAAAGGAUGACUAUUUGUCAGACUUGAAAAUAUUUCCAAGAAUAUGCCAUGGGCUCAGAAGACAACUUAAAAAAAAAAGGAUUCCGGAAAUGUUUGGGGCAAUAGCCACAUCAAUGGAAGCAUCAAAGGAUUACAUCUAUCCCAAGGUCACUACUUUGAAGAGAGUAAAAUCCAUUUAUACUGUAAAUCUGAUUUUUUUAAAACUCAGCAGCAGCAACUAAUGUCACUCCUCUCCUGACUGUCAAUGUCACCUAACAUGGGAGUCAAUACACCACACAGCUAGAAGCAACGUUGAAGCCAGCGCUAUAAACGACACCACAUCCUUACAAAGAGUGUGCCAUUCAACACAGAGCCCCGCAGUGGCUGUGAAUUAUUGCAGAUCCUCGCAGCAUCCAGAGGGGGGAUUUACUUAGGCAUUUUGCACAGAAAAUGGAAACGUUGUUAAUCAAACACUGAACCCCAUGGGUCAGUAGAAAGGAAACACUAUUUUCACAGUGAGAGCGGAUCCAGCAGCUGCGAGAAGGACAAGACACCAGGAGGAAACGAGGGAAUGUCAGAGGAAUCAGAGAACUUGAUUGGCUUAGAGGGAGGCAUGCACCAAGACCAACUGCAUGAUUUCUGAAGCUGUUCACUCUCAAGUCCGGUAAAAAUCAAGAGAAAAGCCUACAAGUCCCCAACCCACUCUGAGGACAAGAGCCCCCUUGUCCAUCACCAGUUCAGCACAAACCUUGCA